GAGGGAUCAUUACAGAGUUGCAAAACUCCCAAACCAUCGUGAACGUUACCUACAUCGUUGCUUCGGCGGGUGGCGGGCUUCGGCCCUGCCCUCGGCCCCUCUCGGGGGCCCGCCGGAGGUACACCAAACUCUUGAAUUUACAUGGCCUCUCUGAGUCUUCUGUACUGAAUAAGUCAAAACUUUCAACAACGGAUCUCUUGGUUCUGGCAUCGAUGAAGAACGCAGCGAAAUGCGAUAAGUAAUGUGAAUUGCAGAAUUCAGUGAAUCAUCGAAUCUUUGAACGCACAUUGCGCCCGCCAGUAUUCUGGCGGGCAUGCCUGUCCGAGCGUCAUUUCAACCAUCAAGCCCCCGGCUUGUGUUGGGGACCUGCGGCACACCCGCAGGCCCUGAAAACCAGUGGCGGGCUCGCUGUCCACACCGAGCGUAGUAGCAUAUCUUUGUCUCGCUCAGGGCGUGCGGCGGGUUCCGGCCGUGAAACCCACCUUCUCGAAGGUACCCAAAGGUUGACCUCGGAUCAGGUAGGAAGACCCGCUG
rnacentral:rRNA from 1 species